rnacentral:rRNA from 1 species
CCUACGGGGGGCUGCAGUCGAGAAUCAUUCACAAUGGGGGAAACCCUGAUGGUGCGACGCCGCGUGGGGGAAUGAAGGUCUUCAGAUUGUAAAACCCUGUCAUGUGGGAGCAAAUUAAAAAGAUAGUACCACAAGAGGAAGAGACGGCUAACUCUGUGCCAGCAGCCGCGGAAAUACAGAGGUCUCAAGCGUUGUUCGGAAUCACUGGGCGUAAAGCGUGCGUAGGCGGUUUCGUAAGUCGUGUGUGAAAGGCACGGGCUCAACCCGCGGACGGCACAUGAUACUGCGAGACUAGAGUAAUGGAGGGGGAACCGGAAUUCUCGGUGUAGCAGGGAAAUGCGUAGAUAUCGAGAGGAACACUCGUGGCGAAGGCGGGUUCCUGGACGACAACUGACGGUGAGGCGCGAAAGCGUGGGGAGCAAACAGGAUUAGAGACCCGAGUAGUC